rnacentral:lncRNA from 10 species
CUCGGCCACUGCCUUCGCAGCCAGCGCCGCGGCGCACACCCGGACCCCACCUCCCCACCCGGGCCGCCGCUACCCCUCGGCCUCCCUGCCGAAGCGGCGGCCUUUCAGGCCCUAGAUCCGGCCCGGCCUCAAGAGGCGACCUCCGUUCGGGCCCAUCCAAGCCGGGCCGCAUCCAGCCCGCCGCCUCCCUCUCCCUCUGCCCGGCGUCCACGACCCGCAGCGUCCGCCCGGGGUGAGCGGGGCGCCGCGUCUCACCGAAUUUAAGGCGAAGAGGAAAGAGCCAGAAAUCCCCGAUGUACCGGCAACUGCGGCGGUGUCUCCUCUGCGACCGGAACUAACGCCAGGAGGAGGGAGAGGUGCCACCCCCGCCCGGACCGCUCUCCUAUCGCGAGAUUUCUUCCCCUUGCCCCGCCCUGAUCGUGGACAGGCGCUUCCGCCUUUUCUAUUGCGCGCGGAUUAGGAGCGAAGAGGACACAGGCCGAAGAUUGAGAAGGGGAAAUUCUGUCCUCCAACCGCGGUCCCUGCGCGCUGCAGCGGUUGUCUCCCGAGUGUGGUGGCUAUGGGGACUUGGAGAGCAUCAGAAUCCCUUGGAGGACUUGUUAUAACAGACUGCUGGGCCCCACCCGUAGUUUCUCAUUCUGUAGGCCUGGUGUGGAACCCAUGAAUGUGCAUUUCCAACAAGUUAUCU